UUGAACGCUGGCGGUAGGCCUAACACAUGCAAGUCGAGCGGAUGAGGGAAGCUUGCUUCCCGAUUUAGCGGCGGACGGGUGAGUAAUGCCUAGGAAUCUGCCUAUUAGUGGGGGAUAACGUUCCGAAAGGAACGCUAAUACCGCAUACGUCCUACGGGAGAAAGUGGGGGAUCUUCGGACCUCACGCUAAUAGAUGGGCCUAGGUCGGAUUAGCUAGUUGGUGAGGUAACGGCUCACCAAGGCGACGAUCCGUAGCUGGUCUGAGAGGAUGAUCAGCCACACUGGAACUGAGACACGGUCCAGACUCCUACGGGAGGCAGCAGUGGGGAAUAUUGGACAAUGGGCGAAAGCCUGAUCCAGCCAUGCCGCGUGUGUGAAGAAGGUCUUCGGAUUGUAAAGCACUUUAAGUUGGGAGGAAGAGUUGUAAGCUAAUAUCUUGCAGCUUUGACGUUACCAACAGAAUAAGCACCGGCUAACUCUGUGCCAGCCGCCGCCGUAAAAC
rnacentral:rRNA from 1 species